AUUUUGAUUUUUGACGCGUAGCUGAGGAUGAACGCAGCAUUCAACCGCGUCUAUAAAUAGAGUCUUGGUCCCGCCCUCUCUCUUUCGAAUCUCAACUCAAGGUUUCAAUUUUGGGGCUUCUGACGAUCUAGGGCUUGCGAAGGCUUCUGAUGAUCUAGGGUUUGUGCUGGAGGAAACAGCAUCAUGAACGGCGGCGGCGAGUUUCCCUUCAAACUGCGUCAUCUUCAACAAAACCCUAGAAAGAUGGAAACUUGGCGCCUUCAAGUCUAUGUUUCGAAAUUUAUUUUGAUUUUCAGACGAGAGAUUUUUAUGAUUCGAAAGAUAUCCUUGCAAAAGUAUCAAUGAUCGAGUGCCUUCAGUGGCUAUCAGUGAAGGAGAGCGAGCUAAUUCCUAAGGGUUUACACAUACAACAACAUGGAGAGAAGCACAUUUUGUAUACUCCAUUACAUUUGGAAUGCAAUCCAUUCCUAUGAAAGAUUGUUACUGAUGGCUGGCAACAGGGUGUGAUGAUGGAACUGUGCGAUUACAAGAGGCUUUGUCCUUGGAAGGUGGUGCAAAUCCAAAUUGCUUGGGGAGCAUGUCUUUGGAUCUGCCGUGAGGUUUAUAUACUUUAAUUGAAGAUGCACAUAAAUACUGUGAGUCAACUUUGCAGCUCUAAUCAUGGUGUAGCUGACAAAAAAGAUGA